GCAGGAUUGAUUGAGAGUUUAGAAAAAUGACUGACAGAUGAAUCAGAUGUGAAUGUCUCAGGUUUUAUUUACACUGUCUAAAUCAGAUCUUCAUCUUUCAACUGGAUUCUGACAGUAUCUAUGUUUUCUCUUGCUUCAUUGUUACUCUUUGUAUCAGUCUGCAUUUUGUUAGUGAAACAAAAUAUUUGAGUCUGGAUAACUUAUUCAACAAAGAAGGUGAUUUAACUCAGAGUUAUGGGUGUUGAGAGUCCAAAUACCAUGUCACUAACUUCCUCUGCCUCUCUCCCUCUUUUCAGCCCAUUUGCAUGGUGGUGGAAAUGCAGUGGAACAAAUGAAGUUGUGUUUAAAAAUAAAGAGGUCACCCCUACCUGCACACCACCAGCCCCAGUGAGGAAGGAAAGAUUUGGAAGGUCACUCUGAGAUCUGCUCUUCCUCCAGCCUGCUUGGGCCCAUUCAGCGGGACCAGGUAGCCACCCCCCCACCCCCGUCUGCACGCCACCAGCCCCAGCAAGGAAGGCGAGAUUGGGAAGGUCACUCUGAGAUCUGCUCUCCCUUCAGCCUGCUUGGGCCCAUUUGGUGGGAUGGGUAGCCAUGCUCUCCCCUGCUUGCACACCACCAGCCCCAGAGAGGAAAGCAAGAUUUGGAAGGCCAGUCUGAGAUCUGCUCUCCCUCUGGCCUGCUUGGGCCCAUUUGGCAGGACAGGUAGCCACGCCCUCCUCUGCCUGCUCUGCCACCAGCUCCAACAAGGAAGAUAGCCACAUGGGUGCCCCUGAAACACCCACCCUCAGACCUCCUGAUUGGGCCAGUCCUUGGACAGACUCUGCAGAGGCAUAGGUGGUCAAAAAGGGUAUUUUUUGGAACUCCCAACUUUGAACAUCUUUGAAGAAAGGGUGGGGGAAACCUGUAAUAGAACUAUGUGGAGUUAAAUCCUGCAGGUUGGGGAACUCAAUUUGGGCCUUGUGGCCUGAGGUCAGUCUGAGUCACGAGAUCUGCCAUUGGAUAACUGAGAUCAGGGGACUUGGUUCUGCACAUGGCGGUGCAUGUGGUAUAUUAUGGCAGCAGAGAUAUAGUCUGAAAGAAGC
rnacentral:lncRNA from 1 species